CUGGAAAACUGUGGGCUCCUGGUAUCUCUGGGGUGUCCUGUUCCCAGACCUGAGCUGAUCUGCCACCUAGAGCAUGAGCAGGAGCCAUGGACCAGGAAGGAAGACCUCUCCCAAGGCACCUGUCCAGGUGACAAAGGAAAACCCAAGAGCACAGAACCUACCACCUGUGAGCUAGCCUUGUCUGAAGGAAUCUCUUUUUGGGGACAACUAACACAAGGAGCUUCAGGGGACUCCCAGUUGGGGCAACCCAAGGAUCAGGAUGGGUUUUCAGAAAUGCAGGGAGAAUGCUUGAGACCAGGGUUAGAUUCCCAAAAGGAGAAGCUUCCUGGAAAAAUGAGCCCCAAACAUGAUGGUUUAGGGACAGCUGAUAGUGUGUGUUCAAGGAUUAUACAGGAUCAAGUCUCCUUAGGAGAUGAUGUCCAUGACUGUGACUCACAUGGAUCAGGUAAAAAUCCAAUUAUUCAGGAAGAGGAAAAUAUCUUUAAAUGCAAUGAAUGUGAAAAAGUGUUUAACAAGA
rnacentral:lncRNA from 1 species